rnacentral:misc_RNA from 1 species
GAUGAAGAACGCAGCGAAAUGCGAUACUUGGUGUGAAUUGCAGAAUCCCGUGAACCAUCGAGUCUUUGAACGCAAGUUGCGCCCGAAGCCAUUAGGCCGAGGGCACGCCUGCCUGGGCGUCACACGUCGUUGCCCCCCCAUCUACUCCUUCGGGAUUGCGGUGGGCGGAUGAUGGCCUCCCGUGCGCCUCGUCGCGCGGUUGGCAUAAAUGCCAAGUCCUCGGCGACGCACGCCACGACAAUCGGUGGUUGCGAAACCUCGGUUGCCCGUCGUGUGCGGUCGUCGCGCAUCGAGGGCUCGAAAAAAUUGCCGGGCUCCGGCUCGGCUUUCAACGCGACCCCAGGUCAGGCGGGGUUACCCGCUGAAUUUAAGCAUAUCAAUAAGCGGAGGA